rnacentral:rRNA from 1 species
GGCGUGUACUGCUUGGCUGGGCCUUACUUCUUGGUGAGCCGGCGUGCCCUUUAUUGGUGUGCGUUGGGGAACCAGACUUUUACCUUGAGAAAUUAGAGUGUUCAAAGCAGGCCUAUGCCUGAAUACAUUAGCAUGAAUAAUAGAAUAGGACGUGCGGUCUAUUUGUUGGUUUCUAGAGUCACUGUAAUGAUAAUAGGGACAGUUGGGGGCAUUGGUAUUGAGUCGCUAGAGGUGAAAUUCUUGGAUUGACUCAAGACCGACUAUUGCGAAAGCAUUUGCCAAGGAUGUUUUCAUUAAUCAAGAACGAAGGUUAGGGGAUCGAAAACGAUCAGAUACCGUUGUAGUCUUAACAGUAAACUAUGCCGACUAGGGAUUGGAUGACCUCAAAAUUGAUGUGUCAUUUGGCACCUUACGAGAAAUCAAAGUCUUUGGGUUCUGGGGGGAGUAUGGUUGCAAGGCUGAAACUUAAAGGAAUUGACAGAAGGGCACCACCAGGUGUGGAGCCUGCGGCUUAAUUUGACUCAACACGGGGAAACUCACCAGGUCCAGACAUAACUAGGAUUGACAGAUUGAUAGCUCUUUCAUGAUUUUAUGGGUGGUGGUGCAUGGCCAUUCUUAGUUGGUAGAGUGAUUUGUCUGGUUAAUUCCGAUAACGAACGAGACCUUAACCUGCUAAAUAGCCAGGCCGGCUUCAGUUGGUCUCUGGCUUCUUAGAGGGACUGUCAG